ensembl:lncRNA
GAUGAUUUUUCUGGAGAAAUGCUCCCAGUUUUUGGCGUUCGAGGUGGUUUUUCAGAUGCCACAGAGCAUCUACCUGGAGAAAUGCUCCCAGUUUUUGGCAUUUGAGGUGGUUUUUCAGAUGCCACAGAGCAUCUACCUGGAGAAAUGCUCCCAGUUUUUGGCGUUCGAGGUGGUUUUUCAGAUGCCACAGAGCAUUUUUCUGGAGAAAUGCUCCCAGGUUUUGGUGUUGGAAGUGAUGCAUCAGAUUCUUUUCCUCUGCCAUCUGAAGCAGGGCUUUUCUCCUGUGUUGUGGUCUGUGUUCUUUUAAUAAAGUUGUGGAUGUCUUCCAGGGCCCCAGAAAUCUUGUCCAUUUGAACAAUUUGAUCUUUCUCUUCAUUCUCCACCCAGAGUAAAAGCUUCUGCAAAAACCUUUCUACUGUGUCAUCUAUGAGGACAUAGAGGACUUCAGAUGAAAUGCGACGCUUUGAGCCCUCUACUGAUUGUGGCGUCCUGGAGAUGACCGUGUCUGAGAGGGACCUACCCAUUAGAGUGUCCAGAGUCAGAAUUGAGAAGGUGAGACGUGACAGAGGCUCUCCACCCCUGAUGAGACACCAGGACAGUGUGUGAGGAAGAGGAGGAGAAAAAGGAGCCAGCAUCAACUGAGAGAUAUAGAGGAGAACAGGGGGACAACAGACAGCUCUCUGUAGUCUGUAAAAAUAAGGGAACCACGGACAACUUUGAUAAUGCUUUGAUUUAUCCACAGUACAUUUAGUUCAAAUAUUGUUUUCAUCACAGAGGGAUUGUGCUGGUUUCAGUGGGGAAAGUAUGCAGCUCAUUUAAAUGUUCAAAGAGCUGUGAAAAGUUGUCCGUUCAUAAAGUGUGUCAGUAUUUUAUAAGGAUGCCAUGUUUCUGUAUCAUCUCUCUCCUGUCAGAGCCUCUUCCAAACAUCAGCCUGUUUAAUGCUCUCAUAUCUUCAACAUCUCAAGUAAAUUAUACUGCACAGUUUUCUGUCCAAUAAAAGAAUAUUUACUGCAUGAGUCUGUUUUCCAUUUUAUCUGAAACAUUCAAGGAGAUCUUUUACUGUAUUUUGGUGAUAUUGCCCUUAAAUGUGACUAAAGCUUUCAUACAGUGGUGAUCACGGACAUAACUCUGACAUCAGUCUGACUGAACUCUGAAAAUCACUGAGUGUUAUUUCACAGAACCAUAAUUAGAUUAACUCAAACUGAAACACGCGGUGUUAAACAGUAGUAUAAUUAUCAUUAACUGUCAAAGUGCGUGCGCAUUUUGCUUGUUUCCG